AGGCAUUUUGUUUUGAGCAGUUUUGUUCAUGGGAGAUUGCCAUAUGAUGUGCUGCUGAAACCAGAUCAUGUUCUCAGGGGCAUUUUGCAAAGCCCGCUUGUUAGGAAAGUUGUAAGUUUGUGUGUUAUCUUUUAAUGGUGAAAUUAUUACUUUAGAGAAGCCUCUCUUCAGUUCACUCUUGAUGUAUGUAUGGUGAAAUUAUUACUUUAAAGAAGCCUCUCUUCAGUUCAAUUUUAUUAUUUUUUUAAGCCUCUCUAUGCAACUUUUCAAGCUUAGGCUUCAAGCCAGACAUGUGGUGAAGAAAUGCAACAGAAGAGUACAAAUUUGGAAAGUCAAAUGGCAACAUAAAAAAGGUAAAAGCACGUGUAUUCAUGCAUUUGGGUCUAAGGUUUCUCAUGCUUUGCUGGAAUUUGUGACGCCCUGUUGGUGAAAUUAUUGGCCAUUAUAUUAAAACUAGUCCUAACUAGUUGGGACAUUGAUUUUAUGAAUGUGGAUUAUUCACUUGAAUUGCACCGCAACUUGUUGCAAGCCACUUUGUAUAAAAUAAUAUAUAAUAGUAUAAAAUUAUAUAGGUUAGAUGGUAAAAUACGAAAGCAAAAAUAUAGAGAUGUGUCACAAUUAUUAUAGUAGGUAACUAACUUUUCAUUUUGACCCCUUAAAAUUGGUUAGUCUCUUUUUUAAUUUUUGUGGUUAUCAUGUACUUUUCUCUAUCCAUUAUAUUAUUUUCUCCCACCUGCUCCUUAAUCAUCACUCACAUAAAAUUCACUGUUUCAUUAUCUUACAACUCACAAUUAUUAGAUUGAGUCAUUCUCCAAAACCAAAAUAAAAUGAAACCUUUGGUUGUUGCAGUUUGGGAGUAAACCAGAGUGAAAGUCUAGUUAUUUUUUUAUUACUCUCGAUCUUUCAAUCUCUCACAAAUGACAAUAAUAAUAUAUAGAAAGAAAUAGACAACUUCUUUAUUAUAUAUUUUUUAUAUAAACAAGUUCAUUUAAAUUGAAACUAGUUAAUACAUUAUCCAAUUCAAUUUUAAUUGGAUACACUAAUUAAAAAAAAAACUUAAUAUGUAAAAAUGUAAUUUGUGUUUGUAGGUUAGGCAUAACCCGCUUACAUCCCUAUUUCUUAUUAUUUAUAAAUAGGAACAUUAUUAAUCUCAUUUCUAUCUUAAAUGAUUUACACACAUAUAUAUAUAUAUGUCUCAUGUAGUUAUAUUGAUAGGCUCAGAUAUUUCAUCAAUACUUAUCAAACAUAUAGACGUAUCCAAAAAUAUAGAUAUUGAAUACCUAAUGAAUACGGAUAAGUAAAAGAAAUUGAUGUAUUGAUAGUUCAUAGGUCAACACUUUUCAUAUUGAUAGAAUUUUUUAAUAAUUAGUGCAAAAUAAUAUUUGUCCUUUUGUCUUAUAUUCAGUGAAAUAAUUUUUUUUUGUUUAUGUAAUUUUAUAUUCAUUUGCAUUAUUGAAUUUGUUUCUUUGCCACGCCUAGAAAAUAUUUUGUCUGUAGAUUAGACCACCAAGGAACGGGCAUACAAUGUGAAAAAGAAAAGAAGUGUAAGUAGGGACGUAGCCAAUAGAAUGAUUGGACGUAGAAUUAACGUUUUGCAAAACUUAGAUAAGCCAAUAGUAUACUGAAUUUUUGUAAUGUUUGUUUUGUUUUAUGUCAGGUGUUAAGUAUUCCACAAAUAUAUCGUAUAGGAACUAUGUUAUGUUCUGGGAUG
rnacentral:lncRNA from 1 species